CUGAAUUUUUAAGAAAGGUGCAUUUGGAAGGGGAGAGGACUAUUGAAUCACUGCCUUCGGAUAUCUUGGGUUUUCAUCCUUCAUAUAGGCAUUUUCAAAGUUCGCCUGAAUUUGUAAGCAAGGUGUCUCUGAAUUUCUGAAACGAAAAAAUUUCUACGUGGAACAUCUUGAUCCAAUAAGGCUCUAACGUUGGAUGCUGGUGAUAUAGAAACAGUGAAAGCAGAAGCAAACCCAUGAACAGGUGCCCAUGUUUCACUUCACUUUGUAGCCCAAAUUUCUCAUUGCAUCUUUCACAAGAGGAGGCUCCACAUUGUGCUAGCUAAAGAGAAGGCAAUGGAUAGUUGUGAUAGACCUGGAGAUAUUGUUGGCAUACCUGGCGGUGUGUCAAACAAGCAACCAUCACAUAACCCGGUACCUGCACCACUAAACAAUAAAUCAGUAUCCGAAAUGGGUUCCACCUCCGUCCAUUGGCCUGGAUCUUGCCAGAAUGAAAUUGAAGUGUUGUCAAUGGAUGUGUUACAGCACUAUCACAAGCUUUUCGAAGAUUUAAAGCAAGCAUGUGAAAAUGUAGAUCACGUGCAGACCCAUGAGAUUGAAGUGUUUCAAGAAACCAUGCACAUGUAUGACGCUACAUGUAGUGUCUUGCAAUAGUAUUACAGUGUACUUCGAGAAUUACGAUAUCGAGAGCUCCAUGGUGUGCGUCGUUCCAUGGACAUGAAACUAUCCUUUUUCAGUUUCCUUGACAAUGUUUGGUAUCCCUAGAUAAACUAAACUUAUAAAAGAGAUGCACUUUGAAAGCCAUUGGAUCCACGCUUGGUUUUUGGUUUUUGGAAUGUCACGAAUGUAU